UCUAAAAAUGUAGCUAAACAUGAAGAUGAUUUUCAGAUGCAAGCCUCUAGUAAGCAUGAAGUGAGUAACUGCAUACAUAAUGUCCUGCUAAAAUAGACUUCUACUUGGGUGAUCAGAGGCCAGUAACUGAUAAAUUAUAUUUGAAUCAUUUCAGGAGAGCAUGGAAGAGCUAUUCUUGUUCUCAAACUGAAGGUGAUGCUGUACAAAGGGCAGAAUGACAACUUAUCAAUGCUCAGUUUAUAGAACUGAAAAAUUACAAUUUAUUGGAACAAAAAGCUUGUUUAAAUACAGAUGAUAGUUUUGAAAGUACUAUCUCAUAAUGAAAAGACAGGUCUCCUUCCCUGCAAAGUGAAGUAGGUCCUGAGCCUCCCUGGGAGCACUGCUUUAACUGAGUCACACUAGUAUUCACUUAGGGAUAGUUUUACUUUGGGAACUUACAGGAAUCCACUUUUUCAUGGUGCUGAAAUCACCAUCUCCUAAAUGAUGUGUGGCUGCUUCACAAAAGCAAACCUCAGGAGAAAAAAUCAUAUAUGUGCUUGGUUGGAGGAGAGGAGUUUUUAUUAAAAAUUCCUCUUAUCCCACUCCAAAAAAAUCACACCUAACCUCCAGAUUGUGAUUUGGUGCAUGAACUGGUUUGAAUGAGGUGCCAUCAUUGUUUAAGUAGGUUGGUGGGAAUGGGAUUAGGGAGGUGUGGAAGAAGUCAACAGGACUGGCAUUGUUUGGCUCUUUAUUGGAGAA
rnacentral:lncRNA from 1 species